GAGUUCGGAUGAUAAGAAAUGCUGAUUCUGCAUCCAGUUCUUCAUGCCUCUAGAUCGCGGUGUUUUGUCACGCUGAGCUCAUUGUUUCUAAACCAACACGACGCUGACGUCUGCUGUAAAAUCACGUUUCCAUGAGCUCCUCCAUCAUUGUGAAAAAUAAAGACUCAGGUCAGCUGAAGGAAAAUCUGAUGAUCUGAGAUCAGCGUCCGGAUUCAGUGAGUCAUUCUGCCGACGGAAUCCAUGGAAAUGAAGGAAAAGUUCAAUGACAACAAAGAGGGAAAAUCCAGCCGCACAAAAACAUUACAACACUUCAUACUGAAUGACAGAGAGAGGAAACGUUUAGGGAUGAGUGCCGGCGAUAGCUGAAGGAAGGCGCAGUCGCAGGUGUUUCUGUGAAUCUGAUGCCCUCAUGACUUCAGCGCUGGAGAAUCCAAACAGAACCGGCACACAAAACCCACCAUCAUCCCUCAUGAACAUCAGCACACACCUUUAAUCACGCUCAUAAAGGAAGAAA